ACUCAAAGGAAUUGACGGGGACCCGCACAAGCGGUGGAUGAUGUGGUUUAAUUCGAUGCAACGCGAAAAACCUUACCUACCCUUGACAUGCCUCGAACCUCGCAGAGACGCGAGGGUGCCCGAAAGGGAGCGAGGACACAGGUGCUGCAUGGCUGUCGUCAGCUCGUGUCGUGAGAUGUUGGGUUAAGUCCCGCAACGAGCGCAACCCUUACCAUUAGUUGCUACGCAAGGGCACUCUAAUGGGACUGCCGGUGACAAACCGGAGGAAGGUGGGGAUGACGUCAAGUCCUCAUGGCCCUUAUGGGUAGGGCUACACACGUCAUACAAUGGCUGGUACAGAGGGUUGCCAACCCGCGAGGGGGAGCUAAUCUCACAAAACCAGUCGUAGUCCGGAUCGCAGUCUGCAACUCGACUGCGUGAAGUCGGAAUCGCUAGUAAUCGUGGAUCAGCAUGUCACGGUGAAUACGUUCCCGGGUCUUGUACACACCGCCCGU
rnacentral:rRNA from 1 species